rnacentral:rRNA from 1 species
AACGAACGCUGGCGGCAUGCCUAACACAUGCAAGUCGAACGAGACCUUCGGGUCUAGUGGCGCACGGGUGCGUAACGCGUGGGAACCUGCCCUUAGGUUCGGAAUAACUCCCCGAAAGGGGUGCUAAUACCGGAUAAUGUCUUCGGACCAAAGAUUUGUCGCCUUUGGAUGGGCCCGCGUUGGAUUAGCUAGUUGGUAGGGUAAAAGCCUACCAAGGCGACGAUCCAUAGCUGGUCUGAGAGGAUGAUCAGCCACACUGGGACUGAGACACGGCCCAGACUCCUACGGGAGGCAGCAGUGGGGAAUAUUGGACAAUGGGCGGAAGCCUGAUCCAGCAAUGCCGCGUGAGUGAUGAAGGCCUUAGGGUUGUAAAGCUCUUUUACCCGGGAUGAUAAUGACAGUACCGGGAGAAUAAGCUCCGGCUAACUCCGUG